rnacentral:rRNA from 1 species
UACGGAGGGGGUUAGCGUUGUUCGGAAUGACUGGGCGUAAAGCGCGCGUAGGCGGAUCGGAAAGUCGGGGGUGAAAUCCCGGGGCUCAACCCCGGAAUGGCCUUCGAAACUCCCGGUCUUGAGUUCGAGAGAGGUGGGUGGAAUUCCGAGUGUAGAGGUGAAAUUCGUAGAUAUUCGGAGGAACACCAGUGGCGAAGGCGGCCCACUGGCUCGACACUGACGCUGAGGUGCGAAAGCGUGGGGAGCAAACAGG